UACGGGGGGGGCAAGCGUUGUUCGGAAUUACUGGGCGUAAAGGGUCUGUAGGUGGCUUGCUAAGUCAGACGUGAAAUCCCUCAGCUUAACUGGGGAACUGCGUCUGAGACUGGCGAGCUUGAGGGCAGGAGAGGAACGCGGAAUUCCAGGUGUAGCGGUGAAAUGCGUAGAUAUCUGGAGGAACACCGGUGGCGAAGGCGGCGUUCUGGACUGCAACUGACACUGAGGAACGAAAGCCAGGGGAGCAAACGGG
rnacentral:rRNA from 1 species